rnacentral:pre_miRNA from 1 species
AGGUUCUCAAUAAGUAUUUGUUGAAAGAAUAAAUGAACCAACAAAUCUUAGUUGAGCACCUGUUAUG